UGCAGCAGGCGCGAAACCUUUACACUGCACGACAGUGCGAUAAGGGGACCCCGAGUGCGAGGGCAUACAGUCCUCGCUUUUCUGAACGGUAAGAACGUUCAGGAACAAGUGCUGGGCAAGACCGGUGCCAGCCGCCGCGGUAAUACCGGCAGCACGAGUGAUGGCCGAUCUUAUUGGGCCUAAAGCGUCCGUAGCUGGCCGAGCAAGUUCGUCGGGAAAUCCACCAGCCCAACUGGUGGACGUCCGGCGAAAACUGCCUGGCUUGGAGCCGGAAGACCCAAGGGGUACGUCCGGGGUAGGAGUGAAAUCCCGUAAUCCCGGACGGACCGCCGAUGGCGAAAGCACCUUGGGAAGACGGACUCGACAGUGAGGGACGAAAGCUGGGGUCUCGAACCGGAUUAGAUACCCGGGUAGUCCCAGCCGUAAACAAUGCCUGCUAGGUGUGGCACUGGCUAUGAGCCAGUGCUGUGCCGUAGGAAGCCGUGAAGCA
rnacentral:rRNA from 1 species